UAAUAAGAUCGCAGAAUAAUAAUCGAGCGCAACACAGAUAUACACACGACGGGAAUACGGGUGUUGGAUUCGCGAUUAUAGUUAUUAGAGAGGAUGGGUUCGCGUCGAUCCCACCAGCUUCCGGCAAACGUUAAAGGCGCUCGCGUGUCCUCUAAUAGAGGCAUCGAGCGGCGCAUGUAUUUAAAUACAACGCGCUCUGAUCGAUAACCAAGCAAGUCGACCAAGAGUCGUACAGAGAUUAGAGAAGGAGGCGCUCUUUUUAGCAGUAGAGAUCCACUUCGUCGCGUUGACGUCAAUGAUAAAAAAA